CCCUUAGAUGUUCGGGGCCGCACGCGCGCUACACUGAUGGGGACAGCGUGUUUGCCAUUCCUGGUCCGGCAGGAUUGGGCAAUCCGUUGAACCCCCGUCGUGAUUGGGAUCGGAGCUUGUAACUAUUCUCCGUAAACGAGGAAUUCCCAGUAAGCGCAAGUCAUCAGCUUGCGUUGAUUACGUCCCUGCCCUUUGUACACACCGCCCGUCGCUCCUACCGAUUGGGUGAUCCGGUGAAUGAUUCGGACUCUGGCUAUGCUAGCUACUAGCUACGUCAGGGAAAGUUUUGUGAACCUUAUCACUUGGAGGAAGGAGAAGUCGUAACA
rnacentral:rRNA from 1 species